rnacentral:tRNA from 1 species
GGACAUGGCUCAGUGGUACAGCACUUGCCUAGCAAGUACAAGGCUCUGGAUUCAAUUCCCAGCACCA